rnacentral:rRNA from 1 species
AUCUUCGGCAAUGGACGGAAGUCUGACCGAGCAACGCCGCGUGAGUGAAGAAGGUUUUCGGAUCGUAAAGCUCUGUUGUAAGAGAAGAACGAGUGUGAGAGUGGAAAGUUCACACUGUGACGGUAUCUUACCAGAAAGGGACGGCUAACUACGUGCCAGCAGCCGCGGUAAUACGUAGGUCCCGAGCGUUGUCCGGAUUUAUUGGGCGUAAAGCGAGCGCAGGCGGUUAGAUAAGUCUGAAGUUAAAGGCUGUGGCUUAACCAUAGUAGGCUUUGGAAACUGUUUAACUUGAGUGCAAGAGGGGAGAGUGGAAUUCCAUGUGUAGCGGUGAAAUGCGUAGAUAUAUGGAGGAACACCGGUGGCGAAAGCGGCUCUCUGGCUUGUAACUGACGCUGAGGCUCGAAAGCGUGGGGAGCAAACAGGAUUAGAUACCCUGGUAGUCCACGCUGUAAACGAUGAGUGCUAGGUGUUAGACCCUUUCCGGGGUUUAGUGCCGUAGCUAACGCAUUAAGCACUCCGCCUGGGGAGUACGACCGCAAGGUUG